rnacentral:rRNA from 1 species
AUGUCUGCUAUGUUGAUUUUCAGGCAUGUCAGAGAAGUUGAUUCUUAUCCGACUAUAUUCAUUUCUUAUGACAUCUUACUUACUGUGCCUAUGGCGGCUGCAUCGGUUGAAAGAAGCUUUUCAAAAUUAAAAUUGUUGAAGAAUUAUUUAAGGACAACUAUGACUCCAGAGAUGUUAAAUGGUUUGGCUACAUUAUGCGUCGAGAAAAAAUUAUUGGAUGAGAUUCACAUCGACCCCAUCAUAAGUGACCUUGCAUCGAGGAAUGUUAGAAGAAAAUCUGAAGGUAAUAUGUAUAAAUUAUUUGUUACUGUUGGGGAACGUAGCAGAAAUUCAAAAUUUUCCUACGUGUCACCAAGAUCUAUCUAUGGAGAAACCAGCAACGAGUAG